CUAUAAACUAGAUGUGGGGUAACAUCUCCAAGACGUGAUCAUGUAGAUGCAAAUCACGUUCAGUAUGACGUCUCAUUUGCUUUAAAAGCUAGCUGUGUGAUGUGUUGACAGCCCUAUAACUUAUCAAUUAUCAAGGAUAGAGGAGCCCUUGCCCUGCCUGAAAGAAUCCCUGCGGAACUCGACGCUGGACUUGGCCAGUGGAUAUUGGUAGGUCCGGGUGGAUCCGAGAGACCAAGAGAAGACAGCCUUCACCACGCCUCUUGAUCUCUAUAAGAUCGAACGGAUGCCCGUCGCUCUGUGUAAUGCCCCUGCCACAUUCCAGCAUCUGAUGCAGCCGUGCCUCUGGCAAUAGGUGUCUCCGGAAGGUGGUGAUUGACUCCGCUGUCCUGGCGUCGUGAGGGAGCUUGUUCCACCAUUGGGGUGCCAGAGCAGCGAACAGUUUUGACUGGGCUGAGCGGGAACUGUGCUUCCUCAGAGGUAGGGAGGCGAGCAGGCCAGAGGUGGAUGAACGCAGUGCCCUUGUUUGGGUGUAGGGCCUGAUCAGAGCCUGAAGGUACGGAGGUGCCGUUCCCCUCACAGCUCCGUAGGCAAGCACCAUGGUCUUGUAGCAGAUGCGAGCUUCAACUGGAAGCCAGUGGAGAGAGCGGAGGAGCGGGGUGACGUGAGAGAACUUGGGAAGGUUGAACACCAGACGGGCUGCGGCGUUCUGGAUGAGUUGUAGGGGUUUAAUGGCACAGGCAGGGAGCUCAGCCAACAGCGAGUUGCAGUAAUCCAGACAGGAGAUGACAAGUGCCUGGAUUAGGACCUGCGCCGCUUCCUGUGUGAGGCAGGGUCGUACUCUGCGAAUGUUGUAGAGCAUGAACCUACAGGAUCGGGUCACCGCCUUGAUGUUAGUGGAGAACGACAGGGUGUUCUCCAUGUGUAUGUGACCAGUAAAAUUUGAUUUUAUUUGAUUUUAUAAAGUAUUGACUCAGGG
rnacentral:lncRNA from 1 species